GAGGGGUCCGGACAACUCAUUUUUUUCAUGUGCUGAUCCUGCAUGUCAUUAGUAUCCUCAUAUAUAAAUAUUUUGCGAUUACCCAGACCAUCUGGCAACGAGGCUGCGAGGAAAUCUUAAUGAUAUUGGACAUAUUGUUUUUCCCGGUGUACAAGGUAGAGUUGAAAGAUGCAAGUGGUGUUUCUGAUCACUUUCCUUUUGGUCUCAGCUCACUGCACACCAUGGAAACCACCGAUCAACAGAGCGACUACCAGAGCCCCCAUGCUGCCGUCACCACCGAGAACAGAAAUUGCUCCUCCUCUGACUCCGAGGCCCCCAGGCCCUUUCACCCCAGACAGACGGGGAGACACGUGAUUCAUGAAGUUCUGCAGGGAUUUCAGAGCGAAAGGCAGCUUCUUCCCCCGCAUCCACACCACAGCUGACGAUCCAACACAGCAGCUCUCUGCUCCGUGUCCCACAAGGGACCCUCUUCUGUAUCCUGGCUAAAAUGGCACUUCAUUAAAAAUGUUUCUGUCACUACGAUAUUCCCAAGUGGAAUGAUAUUUCCCAUCAUUAUCAGCCUUUAAAGAGAGAUGGGGAAAACGAGCAAAGGAAUCGAGGGAACAGGAUCUCUUUUUUCCUGGGAAGCCCUAGGCGUAGCUAAAAAUCAAGAGGUCCUAUGACAAAGGAAGAGGGCAAGAGGAUACUGGGGUGGUGGUGGGUGACAGGACUGUCUCCAGGUGACAUCCAAGCCCUUGAGAGACCACUGGGAUGUUUCCAGCAAGAGGAGAUGGUAUUCUGACCCUUUUAACUGGGACAGAAAUUUGAUGAAGCUCAGGGGAAAUGCACCUAAAAUUUCCCCUUGUCUUAUUUGGGAGGCAGAGUUAGCAGUUUCUCCCUAAUCACAGAUGUGCAAAGAAAAGGG
rnacentral:lncRNA from 1 species